rnacentral:rRNA from 1 species
UGCCCUGUGANUAUAUGUUUAACGGCCGCGGUAUUUUGACCGUGCAAAGGUAGCGCAAUCACUUGUCUUUUAAAUGAAGACCUGUAUGAAUGGCAUAACGAGGGCUUAACUGUCUCCUUUUUCAAGUCAAUGAAAUUGAUCUCCCCGUGCGGAAGCGGGGAUUAUAACACAAGACGAGAAGACCCUAUGAAGCUUUAGACAUCAAGGCGGACCACGCCAAACAACCUCAAACAUGAGAUUAAGCCUAGUAGUUUCCCGCCCAACUGUCUUUGGUUGGGGCGACCACGGGGGACAAGAAAGCCCCCACGAAGAACGGGGCGAUUUCCGCCCUGAAGCCCAGAGCCCCCGCUCUAAGCAACAAAACCCUUUUGACUUUCCAGAUCCGGCAUGGCCGAUCUACGGACCGAGUUACUCUAGGGAUAACAGCGCAAUCCCCUUAUAGAGACCCUAUCGACAAGGGGGUUUACGACCUCGAUGUUGGAUCAGGACAUCCUAAUGGUGCAG